CCUCGGCCACCCCAUCGCUCCUGUCGCUCCGCUUCUUCUCCCCUCCCGUUCCACUGUCCUGAGACUUCCACCCUCGGUACACACGCUCCUUCCCCGGGGUCAAAUAAAUAGGACGGGGACAGCGAGGAAUAAGGGGAAUAUACGACGAUAGGUGCCGGAAUAAUGCGGAUUAAGAGAGUAUGACCGAUAUGGAGAGUGGAAUAGAGAAGGAAAUCAGACGGCGGAACAAGAGAGAGGGAGGUGGGGAUAGAGAGGGAUGCGUAUAGACCGAGGAGUCUGGAAGCGACUGUUGACUUGGAAAUAUUCGGAUCGGAGAAGGAGCG
rnacentral:lncRNA from 1 species